rnacentral:rRNA from 1 species
GGGGGGACGGAGAAGGCUAUGUUGGCCGGGCGACGGUUGUCCCGGUUUAAGCGUGUAGGCUGGUUUUCCAGGCAAAUCCGGAAAACCAAGGCUGAGGCGUGAUGACGAGGCACUACGGUGCUGAAGCGACAAAUGCCCUGCUUCCAGGAAAAGCCUCUAAGCAUCAGGUAACAUCAAAUCGUACCCCAAACCGACACAGGUGGUCAGGUAGAGAAUACCAAGGCGCUUGAGAGAACUCGGGUGAAGGAACUAGGC